AUAAUGAUACUUCCAGACAAAGUGUCUGGUCUGAAUAAGAUGGUGUGAUUCCAAUGC
rfam:Eubacterium sp. An11 An11_contig_8, whole genome shotgun sequence.